CAAUAAUCACAUCGCAGCGCAAUUUGCGCAAUUUAAAUCCCAAUUUUAAUUAAAAAAAAACCAUUUUAUUAAAAAUUAAAAAUUUCUGUUGUCUGCAACUGCACUUGCACCUGCACCUCCGAUCACGCGCUCCUCAUUCUAGAAGACUUUCUCCCCCAAGCAAAAACUCUCUCGGCCUCUGUCUCCCUCUCUCUCUCUCUCUCUCUCUCUCUCGUCUCGAAUCAACGUGAGCUCCGAAAUUGUCAAAUAAUCGGACGGUGAUUAGAGAAAUGGAGAACGCCGACGUUUUCUUAGGAUUGCAAGAUUUUCUAGAGCGCAUGCGCCAGCCUUCCGCUGCUGAUUUCGUCAAAUCCAUCAAAAGUUUCAUAGUUUCGUUCUCCAACCAUGCUCCUGAUCCGGAAAGGGAUAGUGCUUCCGUACAGGCGUUCUUUGCCAACAUGGAAGCUGCUUUUCGAGCUCAUCCGCUUUGGGCUGGAUGCUCGGAGGAGGAGCUGGACAGUGCCGGUGAAGGAUUGGAGAAGUAUGUUAUGACAAAGUUAUUUACCCGUGUGUUUGCUUCACUUCCAGAUGAUGUAAAACAAGAUGAGCAACUUUCUGAGAAGAUGUCUCUUGUCCAGCAAUUUGUUCGGCCUGAGAAUUUGGAUAUUAAGCCGACCUUUCAGAAUGAGACAUCAUGGCUGCUUGCACAGAAAGAGUUACAAAAAAUCAAUAUGUACAAGGCUCCAAGAGAUAAGCUUGUGUGUAUCCUCAAUUGUUGCAAGGUUAUCAAUAAUUUAUUGCUUAAUGCUUCAAUUGCUUCAAACGAGAAUCCUCCUGGAGCUGAUGAAUUUCUUCCUGUCUUGAUUUAUGUUACCAUAAAGGCAAAUCCUCCACAGCUGUACUCAAAUUUGUUGUAUAUACAACGUUAUAGACGUCAAUCUCGACUAGUUGCAGAAGCAGCCUAUUUUUUCACAAACAUGCUCUCUGCCGAGUCUUUUAUCUCGAAUAUUGAUGCAAAAGCGCUUUCAAUGGAGGAAACUGAAUUUGAGAAAAACAUGGAGUUUGCUCAAGCUCUUCUAUCUGGCCUUUCAACAGAUUUGGAUGGUCUGUCCAGUCAAAUUGACCAAAUUGAUGGACAUGAUCCCAGAGAACCUACUAAUGAAUCCAGACAUCAAACUCGUAAGGAGGACCAUACGAUACAACCCAAAUCCUCUGAAAGAAAACUUUCAAGUAAAGAAGAUAAGUCAAUCAAUAAAAUUCCAUCAAUCUCAGAGUUAGAGAAUAGAGGGGCAACUAUGCUUCUGAAGGAGGAUCAAACAAGCAAAGUGUUUCAAGAGUACCCUCACAUGUUCGCUCAUGCUGGUGACUUGACAAUCAAUGAUGUUGAAGACCUGCUAAAUAACUAUAAACAACUUGUGUUCAAGUAUGUCUGUCUUUUGAAAGGAUCAGGUGGUGGUUCUGCAACUUUUCCUUUGUCUGGUUCUCAAGUUCAAGCCCAGCAACAUGUUGAAUCAGUGAAAGAAUCUGAAGAUAAUAGGGUGAUAGAACAAAAAGUUGGGUUGCAAAAUGAUACUGACAGGGUGGAUGACGGUCCACAUAGAAUUUCUAAUCAAGAAAAUAUCGAAUCCAAUUUCCCAAAGGGUGUGGCAGUUGCACCCUCAGAGGAUAACCAUGAUGAUACCUUUGAAAAAUAGCUGAUUGUGAAAGAUGUUCUUUUCUGGAUUAUGUUGGCGUUUCAAUGUUGCGGUAACCAAACCACUAUGGAUUUUUCUUUCCUUUUAUGUGGUGAAUUGAAUGCUGUUGUAAUUUCAAAUUAAAAGGCAAUGGCAGGCCAUAGUUUUAACUUUGAACUUGAAUGACAGACCAUUUUGCUGUCCAAAGAGAGAUGACCCAACAAGGGUGGUGAAGUUAGCAUUUGGUUUGAGAAUUCAUCAUAAAUGCAAGUUGUGCAGUAACUCCCCUGACUCAACUCAGCAAAGCCUUGUUCCAGCACACAUACAUGAUAGGCAAUCUCUGGCAAUGCUACAUUGGUCAUUGAUGAGAUAUACAUAUUGUUGCAGGCCCCCCAGCCGAUCGUUCUUCGUAAUUACCAAAUUCCAACUUUUUUAUAUACAUAAUGUUGGAUUAUUCUCUGUCGUGGUCUCUUUGAUUUUACUGGUUUAACUAAUGUACUUGUCAAUAAAAAAAUCUCAAACUUUCAAACACGAGUCGGGAAUGAAAAAAUCUUACAAAAGUUAUGCAUUUCCCAUGUAUACAUUUAAAACUGAUUUACAGAAUAUAUAAU